CCCCACUCCUCAGGGCCCUGUCUCCCAACCCUUGUACCAGCGCUGCCAAGUUGCUGGUACAGGUUUGGGGGGCAGGGACCUGGGGACCCCAGCAG
rnacentral:pre_miRNA from 1 species